GUUCCCUGGGAGUGAAGCGGCCUCCGGAGCCGUGUGCGCAGGUUCGAAUCCUGCCGGGG
rnacentral:tRNA from 1 species